GUGACCUGAGUGGACGCAUCACUGGUGUUAGGGUUGUCAUGCCAAUGGCACUGCCCGGUAGCUAAAUGCGGAAGAGAUAAGUGCUGAAAGCAUCUAAGCACGAAACUUGCCCCGAGAUGAGUUCUCCCUGAGACUAUAAGUCUCCUGAAGGAACGUUGAAGACGACGACGUUGAUAGGCCGGGUGUGUAAGCGCAGCGAUGCGUUGAGCUAACCGGUACUAAUGAACCGUGAGGCUUAACCUU
rnacentral:rRNA from 1 species